rnacentral:rRNA from 1 species
GUUUACAGCCAAACCACCCUGAACGCUCUGGAUCUUGUCUGAUCUCAGAAGCUAAGCAGGGUUGGAUGUAGUUAGUACUUGGAUGGGAAAAUCACUGCUCUAGACA